rnacentral:lncRNA from 1 species
GUUCUCCUGCUGGGGGCCCCAUCUCCCAGGGGCACCACACUCCGCAGAUGCCUCCUCCCAGGGACCCGCCUCCAGGGUCCCACUGACCAGGGACUGCAGUGACCCUCGGUCCUCACGCCAUGCCCAUCCCGCCACCAUGUCCCCGAGGUUUUGGGCUCAGUGCUGCCAGGCAUCCUGCUGACUACUUGGUGUUGGUUUUGGGGGGUGCCCCUUUAUCCUGCCUUGACUCGACCCCCAUGGAGACCCCACGCUGCCUCAAAGCAAACCUCAGGUGAGACACACUCCAUGCCCACGUUUGCAGGCAUGAGUGUGUGCGCAGAUGUUUCCUGUUCUUACAUGGCAAUAAUUCUGACUCCUUGCCCCUCCCCAAAGCUGGCCUUGUCCACUGGGGCUGUGACCUUGGCUGGUCAGGCUGAAGGACUUCGGACAAGAAGGAGCAGCGGACCCCCAGGAACUCACCGCCAGGACUUCAGUCUCCAUGAGCCCCCGCCUCCUUCCGGAUCAGGCCGAAGCCAUCACCGGGAAUCCCGCGUGGGACAGGACCUCGGACACCCCGGACACCCCGACACAGCACCGCAGCGCCCCCCAUCCCUGAAUCCCUUCACAGCCACGGGGACGCCCGGCGCACGUUCCCACGGGACAGGCUGGACGCAAAGAUUCUGGACCGGGCCUCCCCUUGAGUAGCGAGGCACCCUCUGACUGAAGGACUUCACUGACCCCGGGGUCAGCCACCUCCCCUCCCCGAAUGCUGAGACUUGGGGGAACUGCGGACCCUCCACUGCCCACCUCUGUGACGUGGGCUUGGACUGCUGCCUCGUGUCCCAGGGCUGCUGCGAGGCGCUGGGACGCGGUUUCGACGCGCCGGCCUGGGCUCAACCUCUCGUGCUCUCAAUAAAUGUUUCUUGUCUUAACCAAAGCAGU